rnacentral:rRNA from 1 species
UACGAAGGGGGCAAGCGUUGUUCGGAAUUACUGGGCGGAAAGGGCGCGUAGGCGGCUUAUCAAGGCAGGCGUGAAAUUCCCGGGCUCAACCUGGGGGCUGCGUUUGAUACUGAUGAGUUUGAAUGCGGGAGAGGAUAAUGGAAUUCCCAGUGUAGAGGUGAAAUUCGUAGAUAUUGGGAAGAACACCAGUGGCGAAGGCGGCUAUCUGGCCCGUAAUUGACGCUGAGGCGCGAAAGCGUGGGGAGCAAACAGG